ACUACGGGUGGCAGCAGUGGGGAAUAUUGCACAAUGAGGGAAACCCUGAUGCAGCAACGCCGCGUGAAGGAAGAAGGUUUUCGGAUUGUAAACUUCUGUUCUUAGUGAAGAAUAAUGACGGUAGCUAAGGAGCAAGCCACGGCUAACUACGUGCAAGCAGCCGCGGUAAUACUUAGGUGGCAAGCGGUGUCCUGAAUUACUGGGUGUAAAGUGAGGGCAGGCGGGAAGCCAAGGCAGCUGGGAAAACCACGGGCUUAACUUGUAGACUGCAGUUGAAACUGGUUGUCUUGAGUGAAGUAGAGGUGGGCGGAAUUCCGAGUGUAGCGGUGAAAUGCGUAGAUAUUCGGAGGAACACCGGUGGCGAAGGCGGCCAACUGGGUCUUAACUGACGCUGAGGCUCGAAAGUGUGGGGAGCAAACAGGAUUAGAUACCCGUGUAGUC
rnacentral:rRNA from 1 species